rnacentral:rRNA from 1 species
UACGGGGGGGAGCAAGCGUUGUUCGGAUUUACUGGGCGUAAAGGGCGCGUAGGCGGCCACCGCAAGUCACUUGUGAAAUCUCCGGGCUUAACCCGGAAAGGUCAACUGAUACUGCGGGGCUAGAGUGCAGAAGGGGCAACUGGAAUUCUCGGUGUAGCGGUGAAAUGCGUAGAUAUCGAGAGGAACACCUGCGGCGAAGGCGGGUUGCUGGGCUGACACUGACGCUGAUGUGCGAAAGCUAGGGGAGCGA